AGCUUUAGACAAUGGGCGCAAGCCUGAUCCAGCCAUGCCGCGUGAGUGAAGAAGGCCUGCGGGUUGUAAAGCUCUUUCUGACGGUACGAAAUCGCGCAGGCCAAUACUCUGCGCGGCUGACGGUACCGUACUAAGAAGCACCGGCUAACUACUUGCCUGCUGCCGCGGUAAUACGUAGGGUGCGAGCGUUAAUCGGAAUUACUGGGCGUAAAGCGUGCGCAGGCGGUUGAUUAAGACAGGCGUGAAAUCCCCGGGCUUAACCUGGGAACUGCGCUUGUGACUGGUCAGCUAGAGUACGGCAGAGGGGGGUGGAAUUCCACGUGUAGCAGUGAAAUGCGUAGAGAUGUGGAGGAACACCGAUGACGAAGGCAGCCCCCUGGGCCGAUACUGACGCUCAUGCACGAAAGCGUGGGUAGCAAACAGG
rnacentral:rRNA from 1 species